rnacentral:rRNA from 1 species
UCGAGAAUCUUCGGCAAUGGGGGCAACCCUGACCGAGCGACGCCGCGUGUGGGAUGAAGGCCCUUGGGUUGUAAACCACUGUCAGAGGGGAUGAAGUGCAUGGGGGUUCUCCCCCAUGUUUGACAUAGCCUCAGAGGAAGCACGGGCUAAGUUCGUGCCAGCAGCCGCGGUAAGACGAACUGUGCAAACGUUAUUCGGAAUCACUGGGCUUGAAGAGUGCGUAGGCGGUUUCGUAAGUAGGGUGUGAAAGCCCCCAGCUCAACUGGGGAACUGCGUCCUAAACUGCGAGGCUGGAGUGAGGUAGGGGUGUGUGGAACUUCCGGUGGAGCGGUGAAAUGUGUUGAUAUCGGAAGGAACGCCGGUGGCGAAAGCGACACACUGGGCCUUGUCUGACGCUGAGGCACGAAAGCCAGGGGAGCAAACGG